AUUAUUUUGAAAUGUAAGAUAUUCGAAUGGGAAAUUCGUGAAUUUUUAUUAAAAAAAUUAAUAAACCAUAGUUGGACGUAUUACAAAGUGGUCAAUACAAUGUACAAGCCACUCGUCAGGUACUACAAUCGAAAUGUAUUGACUUAAAAUUCAACAUUAAAAUUGAUUUAAACUAAAACUUCAUUAAUCUAUGUAUAAUAUGCAAUUCCCGACGUAGGUUUACGUUAGAAAAUAGAAAAAUGAUAGUGAUUUUGACCCCGAACUGUGAUAACAAAAUAAGGGUAAUAAUGCGUAACAUUUCGGGAGUUGUUUAUUUCUUGAAUUUUCCAAAAACAAAAAAAAUCUUGAUCAAAAUUAAUACUCUCCGAGACAAAUGAGUAUUUUACGUUUUACACUGCAGAUCUCAUGAUGAUACGUUUACGUAAAACAAUUUAGUUGUACCGUUUUAUAAUUAACCGCUGUGAAUACUGUAGUUUUUGUACGUUAUUCCGUGACGAAACUUGUAUAAAUCGUGUAAUUAUAACAAGGAAAAAAAUCAUUUUAUAUUUGUUGUGCCUAUAACAAAUUAUUAUCAUAUUGUUUGAUAUUUUGCAACGGUGCAGCAUUUCGCGAUCGAGCGGCGGCGCAAUAUUAUUAUACCGUACGCGUAUUGUAGAGGUGAUCUUUUGGUCGGUAUUAUAUAGGUACCCACCACCAUUUUGUACACGAGUGUAUCGUGUCUAGCCAGAGUGAGAGAGUUAUAUACUGCAGCAGCAGCAGCAUCACAAAGCCAGAUUAGUCGGACCGAUUAAGAGCGGAGAAACAAAUAAUAAAUAAACCGAGCAGAAAAUAUUAUUAUCUGAUCGACGUCCAUAAUCAGAUUAAAUCGGCGGCGGCGGCCUGCGGUUUGCGACCCGCUUUCCACCUAAUACGGACCUACCGAUGUAUCGGGCGGCGGACAAAAGUCGUUCAUAUAAUUUGUUACCGUGCAAGAUAAA